UGGGGAAUAUUGCACAAUGGGCGGAAGCCUGAUGCAGCGACGCCGCGUGGGGGAUGAAGGCCUUCGGGUUGUAAACUCCUUUCGACAGGGACGAAGCGUAAGUGACGGUACCUGUAUAAGAAGCACCGGCUAACUACGUGCCAACAGCCACGGUAAUACGUAGGGUGCGAGCGUUGUCCGGAAUUACUGGGCGUAAAGAGCUCGUAGGUGGUUUGUCGCGUCGUCUGUGAAAUUCCGGGGCUUAACUCCGGGCGUGCAGGCGAUACGGGCUGACUUGAGUGCUGUAGGGGAGACUGGAAUUCCUGGUGUAGCGGUGAAAUGCGCAGAUAUCAGGAGGAAUACCGAUGGCGAAGGCAGGUCUCUGGGCAGUAACUGACGCUGAGGAGCGAAAGCAUGGGUAGCGAACAGGAUUAGAUACCCUGGUAGUCCAUGCCGUAAACGGUGGGCGCUAGGUGUAGGGGGCUUCCACGUCUUCUGUGCCGUAGCUAACGCAUUAAGCGCCCCGCCUGGGGAGUACGGCCGCAAGGCUA
rnacentral:rRNA from 1 species